CUACUGCGUGUGCCGGAAAAUACACUACUGGUGGGCCUGCCCCGCGCUGCCACCGGCUUCCUCACCAUUGGAAUUGCCUCGGUGUUUCGCAAGGAGCACUACCUGAGCCGAACUCUCCGCUCGCUGAUUGACAGCUCGACAGCGGUUGAGAGAGCCAACGUCACAGUGGUGGUCCUGCUGGCCGACACCAAUGACACACUCAGGUCCUUCCGGCUGAACCAUCUGUCCAGCCAGUUUCACGGCGAGGUCGCUGAUGGGUUCAUCCAGUUCAUCCAGCCUCCACCUGAUCUGUAUCCCGACCUCAACUUCACGAGUGGUCGACGGCGCACCUUCAACGACAAGCCGGAGCGGGUGGCGUGGAGAACCAAACAGGCACGGGGCAGCUGCACUCUCGGCUGCGG